rnacentral:rRNA from 1 species
UACGAGUGGUGCAAGCGUUAUUCGGAAUCAUUGGGCGUAAAGGGUGUGUAGACGGCCUACUAAGUCAACUGUUAAAUUCCCCGGCCUAACCGGGGUCCAGCAGUAGAUACUGGCGAGCUAGAGGGUGGAAGAGAGAGGCGGAAUUCUCGGAGUAGCGGUAAAAUGCGUAGAUCUCGAGAGGAACACCAAUGGCGAAGGCAGCCUCUUGGUCCACAUCUGACGUUGAGACACGAAAGCGUGGGGAGCAAACGGG